rnacentral:lncRNA from 13 species
GUCGCAUCGUGGAAACAAUAAGCUGAUUAUGUGCAAAAUAAAUCAUCAGAAAAUGAUUACCAAAACAUAAGCAAACAACUGGAAGAAUUACAACUUAUAGUGAAGGGGAAGAAGUUAGUAAAUAAAUUUUGCCUAUGCAAUAAAAAUUGUUCCAAUAAUUUAUGCGGUUGUAAAAAAGGAAAUCAGUUUUGCACAGAACACUGCAAAUAUUCGCAGUGUCAAAACAAAGCUAAUUUAAAUAAAACAUCUGAAAAGAAUUCAUCUGAAGAUAAAACUAAAGAUAAGACUGAAGAUAAAACUGAUAAUAAAAGAAAAGAUAUGAAAA